AACACACACCAACGUGUAAUCAUAAAGGUUCCAGUGUAAACGCACCUUCAUCGACAGCUGCUUGGACUACACCAGAUUCAACCUCUUCAGCCUGACGUUUGAGUCAACAAAACAGCAACAUCUCACAUCCCAAGCGUACAAAUGAAUCAGCUGACCCUUUUCUUCCCGCCCAAAGCAAGCAGCGGCGCAACAAGGGCUGGCGGUCAGAGACGGACCCGGAGACCUCCGACGACGGGCAGGCGUCGGGCGCCGGCGACGCCCUGGAGGUCUCGGGGGAGGAGACCCCCGUGCUCACCAGCUCCUCCCAGGAGGAGGAGGAGGCGUGGGGCUGCUCCAGCGGCAUGAGCCUUGAGGUGGAGCCCCUGGACCCCCUCAACUACAACUACUACUUCCGGCGGCUGUCGGACUCGGCGCUGGAGAGCGGCCCCUCCACGCCGGUGCGGGGCCCCCCCCUGCUCGGCAUGGAGCGCAUCUUCAUCGAGAUCGAGGACGUGGAGCGCGACGCCCUGCUGGAGGACGAGGGCUUCCCCGUGGCCCACCUGGCGCCGGCCGGCGAGGGCACGGCGGCGCAGACCUCCUGCGGCCGCCUGGACCCCAUGGAGGACGUGAGGCUGCGGCUGGAGUUCAGCACCCUGGAGGAGGAGGACGAGGAGGAGGCGCAGAAGGAGGAGGAGGAGAUGGCCGCCCUGGCCCGGGGGACCGGGGCGGCGGCGGCGGCGGCGGCGGGGGGGGAGGAGUCGGAGGGCCGGUUGGGCCUGGCCAACCUCAACACCAAUAACAGCAACCGUCUGGCCGGCAAGCGCAGCUGCCCCGCCGCCUUCGACGACAGCCUGGGCUCCCAGAACCCCUUCAAGGUGAAGCCGUCCUACCAGUCGUGCGCCGAGUGCCUGCGCCUCCCCCAGGGCUGGCUGUGCGACCGGCCCGGGGCGGGGCGCACCCACCGCCUCUACACCUCCCGCCACGGCGCCGUGCCCUCCAUCACGCUGGACCCCCCCGGGACCACCACCACCACCACCACCACCACCACCACCCCCACCACCUCUUCCUCCGCCGCCGCGCCCAUCUCCGUCAGCUGCACCCUGCCGUGCGGCCAUCGCUGCAGAUGCGCCACGUGCGUCCAGGGCGUCUGCGUUUCCCCGGCAACGGCAGCAGCAGCAGCAGCAUCGGCGUCUGCCGCAGACGCGUCGUCCCGGCCGGAGGUCCCCGACGGAACACAGGAGAUCCAGUACGAGGGGGAGGAGGGAGGUUCAGGCCGCACGGAGCUGGCUGGCGACCGGCUUGUGUGUGUGGGGUCAGCGGCGCGCUCCGCCCUCCAGGACGGCUCCCUGUCUUGUUCCCUCGUCAAGUAGAGCCCACUGGGUGUGAGCGUGUGGGUGUGCACGUUGCCACCUUGAAGAGACACUUUUUCUCAAAACUUUGAUAGCGGAUGAGAGCGUUUCCUUGGCCGCCCCACGACGACAAAGAGGCUGAACAUUUCUGGCUGUAUACCGGAUACGUAUACGGUGUACAAAACGUUGAAAAAAUAAGUAGUCCAAAUUCUGUGUAGGAGCUCAAGGAGGGGCGUUGAACUGCGAGUCCAUCCCAGCAUCUCCAGUGAUCUGUGAUCAUCUAGUCAUUCCCGGACGCCCUCAUCCUUCUCCAUGAGAUGUCAACCAUUCGACAAAGGUCCUCUUGUGUCUAAGCUUUCUGUGUGGCUCUCAGGCGGCUCCGUCCGUCGAUGCAUCAACUGUGAUCGCGUGGUACGCCAAAAACCCGAUAAACUUGAAAAUAAAUCCAAAUUGGUCUGUAGGCUAUCGAACACACUGUCGUGCGGGCCCCGCCCGGGGGGGAAACAGGGGACGUAAUCCUUCAUGUGAUAUUGUCGACCGAUUUGCAGUGAGCAGUGCAUUGUGGGACAUGUGGGAGUGGUUGACUCGUUCAUCUGAGCGCCCUACACACACUGAGGCGAUGGAAGAGUGGCGAACUCGCCACUCUUAUAUCGGGUAUAUCGGGACUCUUGAAUGCCGCGAGUCGUGUUACCUCUCCUAAGUAGGAUAUACUUAUGGGGGAAAGCUGCUUGAGAAAGUUGGCUUCACUUCACGUUGAAGUGGAUUUUUUUUCCUAAUUGAAAUAUUGACUAUUGUCAUGUCGCCAUAUCCCAGAUGUUAAUUCAGUAGUGAGCACGCCAUGAUGAUCCUCAUCAUAUUUCUUUUGUACACCUUGAUAUUCACUUAUAUCCUUGCAUCAUAUGCAUGCUGUGGUCUUUGGAGAGGAUAUGAAGGUGAUGAAUAAAUACGAUUAUUUAAGUAUUUAACAGGUAUUUCCUAUUUUAUGCUCUUUGUUGAAGGGAAUGUAAAUUUCAACUUAAUCAUUUUCAAAUAUUGUCAAAUUUGAUUUAUCAAUGCUUGCAUAAUGUACUUCAAAUGUACAUUAUUAGACAAGGGGUUUAAAAAUAAUGUCUCUUUUUAAUAUUUCUAGAAACUAUAUACCAUGUUUGUUUUGAGAUAUUGUCAAUCACUUCAUAAUAAAACAUGCAAUAGGCAACUUAUUAACCACAAGCAGGAGUGUUGAAACAUGUGUUUAAACAAGAUGGCUGAAGGAAAUCAAUAUCAAACACAUUUUUUAAAUAAGCAGUUCAAAUCAAAACAGAAGAUGUAACGCCUGAGCUCUCUGGGAUUCAUGAGAUAGGGGUUAUCCAUGCACAGUAAGAAGGUUUACUGAAAGCACAGUUUCUAAGUAUAAGUUCUGCCGUGAUACUUAUCGUUUGCGUUUAAUACCCCCUGCUACUGCUACAAUUUAUUGUUGUGACUUGAAUGAGAUAAGUUGAAUAAGUCACCUAUUUUGGGGCCAGGUUUGAUACUUUUGAGCCUAUCCUCUGAUCAUCCAUGUAAUUAUGCGGAGCUGUAAGCUAUCGGCCUACUCUGCUGCGACUUCAUUUAAUUCAUAUUUAUGAAUGGGUUAUCCAAAACCUUUCUCCUGAGUGAAGGGUUGUUCACGGGUUGCUGCUGUUUCGUGGGUUCCGUAAAUGAGAUGUUUUUUGUGUUGGGUUAGUAUUUAAGUGCCUUAACCUUGACCUUAAUGCUAUUACGUUGCACCACAGGCUUCCUAGAGUGGUUGUGAAUGCUGUGACUGUCCUUCUCUUGCUCUCUCAACCCCUCAAAACCACCCCGCUACGUCCUCACAGUGUUCAUCUCGACUGCUGUAUGCAAACACAACCCUGGAUCAUACAACGUGCGCACAUGUAUUUGGAACACUUGCAAUUUAUGAAUAGCCUCUAUCAGUAUUGUAUCUGUUUGAUAUUGUAAAAAUGUAAAAAUUGUGAGGCAUUGUUCUGGCCCGAACAUUACAUUGGUUUGUAAUUGCAACGAUUAUGUCGAUGGCACAUGGCCUCAGAAGUCAGAAAGAUCGGUUGAAAAGCUAUGGUCUGUAAGCAAGUUUUUAAUUAAUUAAAGAGUAUUAAUUAGAUCUGUGUUCAUGAUGUGGUGCAGAUCUUGAACGGGGAGAUAUGUAUUUUGGGCCUCAUUCAGAAUGUCCCCAAUUAUAUUCCUUCAUAGGCCUUUACUAGGAAGAAAUGCGUUUACUGACAAUCCUAUUAAAAGCCAGAGGUCAAAGGCACUUUGUGGGACAUGUGAGAAGGGAAGAUAUUGACUGUGCGAAAACGGUCUUCUUUCCACAGAUGCUUUGGUUUGAUUUAUUUAGAGUGGAUUGUGUCAGGCGUUGAAGAAAGGGUUUUUAUUCAGUUUGUUUAUAUGUGCACUGUGCUGUCCCUUGUUCAAGUAUGUGUUUUUGUUUCUUUUAAAAUACAGUUAAUGCAAAUGUUAAUAAAAAUGACUGAAGGAGAACAAAUUUAGACAUCAGUAAUUUAAUAAUUUGCACAACAUUGGUUACUAUUUGACCUUUGAACUGGACGAGUGAAGGACAAAGUUUAACAUUUUAAUAAAUUGUACCUUUUGCUAUGAAGUGUCGACAUGAACUGUUUUAAAGUAAAGAAAACAACGCAUGAAAUCUAAAGUAUAUAAGUCCCAUGAAACGGAUAAAGACUCGUUUAAAGGUAUUCAAACACACUCACUCACAAACACACUCUCUCACAGACACAUUCACUCACAAACACAAUUGCUCACAAACACACUCACUCACAAACACAAGUACGGUACUCACAGCAAAAUCACUCACAAAAACACUUACUCACAAACCCAAUAUCUCCCAAACACACUCACUCACUCGGGACCUGACUGUUUCUGAGUGUUGUCUGCUGGAUUACAUGAGGCUUCUUUUAUUGAGUUAGUCAAAUGAAGUGGUGCUGACAUCACGGGGCAGCUUUAAACAUGGCAAAGCAGGGCAGCAGGAGUUGAAGACCAUAGCAGGGCCAGAGGAACAGCACAGCCACACCUUCCACACAGGUAAGCAGUUUUAAAUCAAUACAAACAGCGAUUGAAUGUACCAUUAAUAUGAAUAUAGGAUUCAGAACAUUCUGCCACAUUGGAAGAUGUAAG
ensembl:lncRNA